GCAUGGGCGUGGUGGCGUGCGCCUGUAAUCUAGCUACUUGAAGGCCAGGGUGCAGGAUGUCGUGGGACCGGGGCUUCUGACAUAUGGGUGCUCAAGUUCAUCAGGCGUCCACGCUAAGCACGGCGCCGAUAUGGACGACCUGUCGGAGGGUGGGUUGUCCAGGUCGUUUAAGGAGGGGCGGACCAGCUCAGGAGGGAGACUCGGCAGUCAAAAGUCCCCGCGUGGUGCGGUAGCAUAAAAGCCCCCAAAUGCCCUGGUAUGGCCGAGAGUGGGGGGAGUUCGCUCGCCCCUUCGAAAUGCUCUCAA
rnacentral:SRP_RNA from 1 species